rnacentral:tRNA from 1 species
GGCUCCAUAAUGUAGUGGUUAGCACAUCUGCUUUACAUGCAGAAGGUCCUGGGUUUGCACCCCAGGUGGAGCCA